rnacentral:lncRNA from 1 species
CGAGGCGCGCUCCGCACCUGGCCUGAAAGCGGGAGAUUUGGCAACCAGUGCGCGUGGGUGCGCCGGCCCUUGCAGCUGGGGACUCUGGAGGCAGACCUUGCCCAAAGCCAGAGGCAGGAACUCCCCAGAUCCUCCCAGGGUAGCAUGGGAGGAUGCCGCCUCCUCCAGGAAGCUCUCUAGCGCUUUUCCGAGUCCUGGAGCCAGGCGGGACUUCUCUGUGGUCGCCUAGAAGGAGACCAACAAUUGUCAGCACAGCAAAACUGGGCAUUUCUUUUCUUACUGAGCUUUGCAGCUACCUACACAGUUGUGUGUGGCAUCUCCUCCUGGGUGCAAGGACAUGAGAUGACAUCAGCUACGAGCCUAUAUCCUUCAACCCUUGGAAGCCACUGAUCUGCUUUCUGUUUCUAUGGAUCCCC